GCUGGCGGCGUGCUUAACACAUGCAAGUCGAGCGGUAAGGCCCUUUCGGGGUNACACAGAGCGGGCAGAACGGGUUUGAGUAACACUGUGAGCAAACCUUGCCCCUUGACUCUGGGAUUAAGCGGGUGGAAAACGCCCGUCUUAAUACCGGGAUACGACCCUUUCAGCCUCAUGCCGUUGGGUGGAAAGUUUGUUUCCGGCUCAGGGAUGGGCUCGCGGCCUAUCAGCUUGUUGGUGGGGUAACGGCCUACCAAGGCGAUUACGGGUAGCCGGCCUGAGAGGGCGACCGGCCACACUGGGACUGAGACACGGCCCAGACUCCUGCGGGAGGCAGCAGUGGGGAAUAUUGCGCAAUGGGCGAAAGCCUGACGCAGCGACGCCGCGUGGGGGAUGACGGCCUUCGGGUUGUAAACCUCUUUUACCACCAACGCAGGCUCCGGGUUCUCUCGGGGUUGACGGUAGGUGGGGAAUAAGGACCGGCUAACUACGUGCCAGCAGCCGCGGUA
rnacentral:rRNA from 1 species